ACACUCUAAAGAAUUUUCACGUCCGAUUUACGUGAAAUAUCACGUAGCUCAUCCUUAUUCUGAAAACCUCAAAAGUUAUGUGAUGUCAGUAACUCUCACUCGAAAACCACGUCAUGUGCACCGCCCUGUUUGGUUAAACCCACCUUAUUUUCACGUAAAUCGUUUCAAUGCGUUUGUGUUGGUUUACUUCCGACUUGGAAGUUUCCGCGAAACGAGAGUUACGUGAAUUUUCAGGUGUGAAAAACAGUUCAAUAUGGCGUCGAGAAGUAGGUUGGCGAAAGAGCUGCUUGCUGAUAGGGAGUUUCUGUGUAAGUUGCUGCAAGUAUUGAGGAGCUGGAAUAGGUGUAUGACGGUGACGGAGGUUCAGUUCAACGAGUGUUCGAAACGGCUGGACCUUGAGCUGGACUUAAGAUGUUGCGUCAAAAACCCGAGAUUUUACUCCAAAUAAAAAAAAAACUAUAGUUUUUUCUUUGUUACAUAUUGCCACUAUCUUGUAGCGUAUUUGAGGAGGCAAGAGUUUUGAAAUCCC